AUUACAAAGCACUGCUAAACCUCAAGUUUGGAUGAGCCCAAACAACAGUAUAGUUUAUCAGGUGAAUUUUAGAGGCAGCUGGCUCUAAGAAGCCCAUUAGAUAAGAACUGAGGAGUGUUGCCUGUUUUCCUUAUUUCUGGAAAAAAGGAGUGUCAGUGAUUUCCCUGUCUGGACUGAGCCCAGCUGAUCCCAGGCUAAAACUGGAGCUGGAUCAAAGCUGUAGCAACAACAGGAGCAGAGUCAGGAGGUCCUGGAAGCUUUGAUUGGAGGAGAAAAGAGCAGGAAGCUUUUUUGUGCUGGAUUCCCAAGUGGACUUGGGGAAGGCAAGUGUCUCAGCAGUGGCUCUUUUGCAGCUCUUUUUAAGGGGACAAAAUCUUCUGUUAAACUGUUGAAAAUCUUUCUCUGCACCUUCAAAGCUCUGUUGAAAUGCUUAGAGAAUAAAAAAACCAUCAUUUUUAGGGCAACAAAGCUAAAAUUAACUUUUUUUAAGUGCUUACCGCUCCAGACUGUGUUUUCUGCUCUCCAAAGGUUGUGGGCAUGGCACCCAACUAAGUGGAAUGUGAGAGCAAGCCCUGGGCUGUUCCCAGGGCAGGUGUUUCUGGGAAUGCUACAAAAAUCCAGGCAGAGAUUCUGGAGCAGAUUCUUGGGGUUCCAUGGAUGGGGUGCUUCUAGAGAAGGGUGCAAAACUGAACAUUAUGAUGCUGGAGGGAGGUUUAGAUUUGUUUCAAGAGUUUAGAAAGAAUGACAACACCGAAGUUUAGAGAAAUCUGCUUUGCCGUGGUUAUUUUUAGUAACUCAGGAAGAAUUUCUUCUUUCCUCAGUAAAGGUCACCAGGGAAAUUGUAUUAAGGUCAUUAUUUAAUCUGAUUAAUUUUUCACAGGUAGAAAGAUGAUUAUUUUUUAAUGUGUUACAUUUCAGACAUCAGACCUAGACAGCAUCGCUCUUCCAGCAUUCACAAAGAGUUACUUUAUUCCAAGCUGUUAUCUCAGAAAUGUGGGUGAGAGGCUCUUUUAAUGAAAAAGGAAAGUGCAGGUUUUAAAUAUAUCAAAUAUUGAGCAGGCUUUGCUUGGAUUUAGCAUUACACAGAGCUAGUCCUAGGGAGAGGGGGGGAAACAAAUUGCUCAAUGCUGAUUAAUCACCACGGUUUAAAUGAGGAACACGAAGGAUAAACUCAAAACUUUACCCCAUCACCAAGCCAAGAAUAAUAAAUAUUUGUUUCUCCCAGCA
rnacentral:lncRNA from 1 species